ACUCCUACGGGAGGCAGCAGUGGGGAAUAUUGGACAAUGGGGGGAACCCUGAUCCAGCCAUGCCGCGUGUGUGAAGAAGGCCUUAUGGUUGUAAAGCACUUUAAGCGAGGAGGAGGCUCCUGUAGUUAAUACCUACAGAGAGUGGACGUUACUCGCAGAAU
rnacentral:rRNA from 1 species